UGCCGCGUGAGUGAAGAAGGCCUUUGGGUUGUAAAGCUCUUUUGUAGGGGAAGAUAAUGACUGUACCCUAAGAAUAAGGUCCGGCUAACUUCGUGCCAGCAGCCGCGGUAAUACGAAGGGACCUAGCGUAGUUCGGAAUUACUGGGCGUAAAGCGCGCGUAGGCCGUUGAGUUAGUUAAUUGUGAAAUCCCAAAGCUUAACUUUGGAACUGCAAUUAAAACUGCUCGACUAGAGUUUGAUAGAGGACAGCGGAAUACAUAGUGUAGAGGUGAAAUUCGUAGAUAUUAUGUAGAACACCAGUUGCGAAGGCGGCUUUCUGGGUCAACACUGACGCUGAGGCGCGAAAGUAUGGGUAGCAAAGAGGAUUAGAUAACCUCGUAGUCCAUACCAUAAACGAUGAUUGCUAGAUGUUGGAAAUUUAUUUUCAGUAUCGCAGCUAACGCAUUAAGCAAUCCGCCUGGGGAGUACGACCGGAAGGUUAAAACUCAAAGUGACUUGACGGGGACCCG
rnacentral:rRNA from 1 species